rnacentral:misc_RNA from 1 species
GCAAACUUGGUCAUUUAGAGGAAGUAAAAGUCGUAACAAGGUUUCCGUAGGUGAACCUUCGGAAGGAUCAUUACAGUUUUUGUCGCCGGCCGCCUCGUUCGGCUGGCGCACAUCUACGCCCUUGAUUUUGAGCACCUUUUGUUGCCUCGGCGGGCUUGCCUGCCAAUGAGGACAUCUAAAAACUCUUUGUAGUAGCAAUUCUUGUCUGAAUAUCAUACCAAAUAAUCAAAACUUUCAACAAUGGAUCUCUUGGUUCUGGCAUCGAUGAAGAACGCAGC